rfam:Erinaceus europaeus unplaced genomic scaffold scaffold00269, whole genome shotgun sequence
GAAUGUGAGGGUGAUCUGGCUGUGACAUCUUUCACCCCACAGAUCACCAGGCUUGAUUUAGCUGAUCUGGCUGGCUAGGCGGGUUUCCCUUUCCUCCCUCACCACUCUAUGUGCAUCCCUCCUGAAGCUGUGUGCUCAGUCAGGGAGGAUGGCCUUCCUCCAACAGAGAUGACUGGUCUUUGGUUGAGGGUAUAAGAGUGGCUGCAUUCCCCUGUUAGAACCUCCAAACAAGCUCUUGAGGUCCAAAAGUUAUUUCCAGAAAUUUAUUGGAAAAAAAUAAUCAAAGGAUCCAGGUGGUGGCAUACAUAGUUAAGUGCACAUAUUAU